rnacentral:lncRNA from 1 species
GAGAAAAGGGAGGGGGACGGAAGAGGAAGGAGGACUGAGCCCGGGAGAGAGAGGGGAGGGGUCGGCGCGCGACCGGGUCAUGCAGGUGCAGACUGGCCGGUCGCUUCCCGCCCUCCAGCCACCCGCAGCUCCCCGGCAGGCGAAGGGCGGCCGCGCGGGUGUGGGCCGAGAGAGGGAGGCGGCUCGGCUGGAGCGCGCCGUCCGCCCGACCCCCGCCGCCUCUCGGGCGCCUGCGCUCACGCUGCGGGGCCCAGCGCAUUGUGAGCCGGGUCGAGCUCCACGCUGGCAGCGUCUGAGAGCUGUCCUGGGCCGGAGGUGGCGCGAACCCUGUGCGGCCUAGAGUGGGCCUGGGGAAGCCAGCUGCCAUGUUCUGAGUACUCUCUGGAAGGGCCUGCAUGGCAAGGAACUGAUGUUUCCAGCCAGCAGCCAGCAAGAACUGCAAGCCUUGUGAAUGAGCUUGGAAGCAGAUCCUCCCCUCACUCAAGCCAUGAUAUGACAACAGCCUGAGACCCAGAGUUCUGCAUGGCUGGAGAGGCCUCAGGAAACUUACAAUCAUCUUGGAAGGAAAAGGGGAAGCAGGGCGCAUCUUACAUGGCAGCAGGCAAGAAGAAGAGAAAGGGGGUGAACUCACCAGCCAGGGGAAUACCCCAGAAAGAGCUGCCAGUAGGAGGAGGGCCAGCCUCACUGGUGAUUGGAGUCCAGCAGUCCCACUGAUUGGGAGUGCUGAGCCAAGCCCAUGUCGUGCUUCGCUGAUGCAUGGCUGGGCUGAAGAAAGAGCUCUUUGAAUUUUUCAUAGAAAAGACUGGUGCCCAAAAGGCCAGGGCUCGAGAAUGAGGCUGCCUCAAGCACAGUGCUUGGCAGGACACCAGGGCUGAAAGGUACAGCAAAGUCCUCCCAGAAUCGCUUGUCAGAGCAGGGAUUUGCAUCACAGACUGGCCACUGCAAAGACAGAUGGGAACUCACAGGUUUUGUGUGUGUGUUUGUGGUUCACUGCUGAUGGACGCAUGUCAGAAGCCACCUGAGCCUUGGCCCAGCCUUCAUGUGGAGUGAAAACCCAGACCUGUGUGAGCAGCAGGUACUUGAAGCAAGAGAAGCAAGGCCGAGCCUCCAGGGCUUUGUCAGAGGCUCCUUCCUUCCUGGAAUCCAAUUGUACAACCAGGAGCCAGAGGUCUUGGUGGCCGGAUGUGGGUCUAAUCCUGGUUCCAUGGCCUCCCAACUGAGUGAAUGAGAUUAUAAUGAUAAAAUAUAAUUUACUGUGUACCCGGCACUGCCCUAAGCACUUUGUGUUUCUUAUCUCAUUUACUCUUCACAGAAACUCUUGGUACUAUUACUAUACUUGAUUUCUAGAGAAGAAAACUGCGGCACAGGAUAGAGUUGGUUUGCCAAGGUCAGGACAUACACCUCACUGUGUGAGGUUAGAAACUGAGCACUGGACCCCCAUCCUACGCUGCCUGUUUCAUGAAUUGUAAAAGGGGGGAUAAAUGUAGCACCUCCUCCCUAGGUUGUUGUGAUAUUCAAGUGGGAUAAUCCAUUUACAGCAUGGGCAUGGUGGCUGCCUGUGAAACAGUGGGAGCUACUGUCAGUUUGAUUAGUUCUGGCCUCUCUGCAGCCUUGCUACUCUCUGUUUAUUCUCAGCAGCCUUCAGACAAUUUUCUUUUCUUUUCUCUUUCUUUUCUUUUCUUUUUUUUUUUUUUUUUUUGGAGACGGGAGCCUCAUUCUGUCACCCAGGCUGGAGUGCAGUGGCGCAAUCCCGGUUCACCGCAACCUCUGCUUCCCUGUUCAAGCAGUUCUCUUGCCUCAGCUUCCUGAGUAGCUGGGAUUACAGGUGCAUGUGCCACCACACCUGGCUAAUUUUUGUAUUUUUAGUAGAGACUGGGUUUCACCAUGUUGGCCAGGCUGGUCUCGAACUUCUGACCUCAAGUGAUCCACCCUCAUGGCCUCCCAAAGUGCUGGGAUUAUAGGCGUGAGCCACCACGUGCAGCCUAUUAAGACAAUUUUCUGUUUGAACUUCACAGGACUUUCAGCUUCUUGGGUUGGGACACAUUGUCUAUUUGUUGCGUGUGUGGAGAACAGUGGACAGCAAAGAUCAAAACCCUUAGGGGAGAGGGGCAAGAGAGAGGAUAUGAGUGGGGAUUCUCUGCUCCCCUGAACAGUAUUCCAGGAUUCCUUCACCAAUUGAAGUUCAAGUUUGGUCCUCUGAGCAAAAAGUUUAGAGAAGUUCCUUUAUGCGUUUAUUUAAAUUUAGAAUAAACAUCUCUGUAGCAAUAACAACAAAGUGAACACUCCCGGUUUUGUUCUUUUCUUAUUUUUUUUGUUUUGUGGCUCUCAUGCACACAUGGAAAAACAACACAAAACAAAACCAGAUGAACUGAAACCGUUUCUCUAUCCAAGGCUCCCAUAUGUAAGAAAAGGAAAGAUUUUUUCCUUCUUGGGCAGGGUUAGAUGGUGUUGGUCGGGGGGAGUUGGGAGGGAAUGGUUCCACCAUCCUGUUCCAAAGCUCCAAUUCC